GACGAACGCUGGCGGCGCGCUUAACACAUGCAAGUCGAACGGAAAGGCCUGCUUUCCCUUGUGGAUUGCGGGUACUCGAGUGGCGAACGGGUGAGUAACACGUGAGUGAUCUGCCCCCAACUUGGGUAUAAGCCUGGGAAACUGGGUCUAAUUCCCGAUAGGACUGCAGGGUGGUGCCUGUGGUGGAAAACGAUUUUCUAGUGGUUGGGGAUGAGCUCGCGGCCUAUCAGCUUGUUGGUGGGGUAAUGGCCUACCAAGGCGGCGACGGGUAGCCGGCCUGGGAGGGUGGGCGGGCGCAGUGGGACUGAGAUACGGCCCAGACGCCUACGGGAGGCAGCAGAGGGGAAUAUUGCACAGUGGGCGGAAGCCUGAUGCAGCGACGCCGCGUGGGGGAUGACGGCCUUGGGGUUGUAAACUCCUUGCGACCGCGAGGAAGCCACCUGGUUGGAAGGGUGGUGACGGUAGUGGUAGAAGAAGCACCGGCUAACUACGUG
rnacentral:rRNA from 1 species